rnacentral:rRNA from 1 species
GCCUGGUAGCGGGGGAUAACUAUUGGAAACGAUAGCUAAUACCGCAUAACAGUAGAUAUUGCAUGAUAUCUGCUUGAAAGGGGCAAUUGCUCCACUACCAGAUGGACCUGCGUUGUAUUAGCUAGUUGGUGAGGUAACGGCUCACCAAGGCGACGAUACAUAGCCGACCUGAGAGGGUGAUCGGCCACACUGGGACUGAGACACGGCCCAG